CGUAGGUGGCAAGCGUUGUUCGGAAUGACUGGGCGUAAAGGGCGUGUAGGUGGACUGAUCAGUCGGGUGUGAAAUAUCCAGGCUCAACCUUGAGGGUGCAUCCGAUACGGUCAGUCUUGAGUGCAGGAGAGGGCAGUGGAAUUCCCAGUGUAGCGGUGAAAUGCGUAGAUAUUGGGAGGAACACCAGUGGCGAAGGCGGCUGCCUGGACUGUAACUGACACUGAGGCGCGAAAGCGUGGGGAGCAAACAGGA
rnacentral:rRNA from 1 species